CUACGGGUUGCAGCAGUGGGGAAUAUUGGACAAUGGGGGAAACCCUGAUCCAGCAAUGCCGCGUGUGUGAAGAAGGCCUGCGGGUUGUAAAGCACUUUCGGUUGGGAGGACUGCUUCUAGCACUAAUAUUGUUGGAAGUUGACGUUACCUUCAGAAGAAGCACCGGCUAACUCCGUGCCAGCAGCCGCGGUAAUACGGAGGGUGCAAGCGUUAAUCGGAAUUACUGGGCGUAAAGCGCGCGUAGGCGGCUAGAUCAGUCGGGUGUGAAAGCCCCGGGCUUAACCUGGGAACUGCAUCCGAUACUGUCUAGCUUGAGUACAGGAGGGGAGAGUGGAAUUCCACAUGUAGCGGUGAAAUGCGUAGAUAUGUGGAGGAACACCAAUGGCGAAGGCAGCUCUCUGGCCUGAUACUGACGCUGAGGUGCGAAAGCGUGGGGAGCAAUCAGGAUUAGAUACCCCUGUAGUC
rnacentral:rRNA from 1 species